rnacentral:lncRNA from 1 species
CAAAACAUUGUAUAAAUAUUUUUCAAAUCAAAAGAAACAAAUCUCAUCUCUUGAAGAAAAGAUUGACAAUAUGGAAAAAAAAUUGAAGUAGAAAAAUAAAAAGUUCUUAAUGAACAAAAACAAAAUUUUGUUUGCAAAAAUCAUGAAUCUCUUUCCUUCCGAAUAGUUCAACUAAAAAGAUUCCUAGAAAGAUAUUAGAAAGGACAAGUUGGAUUGAAG